rnacentral:lncRNA from 1 species
UAAUCAUAAGAAACAUAAAUACAAUCGCAUGCAAUAAUAUCAUACAGUAACUACCAUAACUAACAACCAUAGGUGGGACAUAAGCUAAAACACAAAUCCAUCUAUGGGUAACCCUGCUGACCCACACCCAACCCCGGGUGAGGCGCACGAAAAACUCUAGGAGCCCCUAACCUACAACCCUGAUUCUAGACCUCCAGACUCUCCUAUCAAGGGUGAUGUCCUCGGAAACCUGCAUUCUAGUUAUGUCAUGCCUAAUCACCUCUCCCCAAUGCUUCUUAGGCCUCCCUCUGCCUCGCCGACCGCCAACAAUCUCCAGCCGCUCGCAGCU